GCGAAUCAUUUGAAUCAGUUCGGGAGUUCGGAGCGGUUUCGUGAAUCAUUUGAGUCGGUUCGGGAGUUCAAAGCGGGUUCGCGAAUCAUUUGAGUCAGUUUGGAGAUCGCGAAUCAUACACAGCAAAAAUUGGAGUUUAUUUCAACACCCAAAGAGUAAUUUUAACACAUUCAGAGUAAAAUGGUGUUUGGUGUUGGAGUUAUUUCACAGAGUUGAUCAUCAGUGUUAAACAAACUCCACAGAGACGUAAUUAGACUCCGCCCACGCAUUUCCAAUCGUCGCUGGUGAAAUCCAUGAAGACGUUGCCAUUAUCCUCGUGUGGCUUUGAAAGUCAUUGAGAAAUUUUGCUUGCCACCUAAUGCAAAAGUUACAUACAAGGAUGCAACAGGGACAGAAGUCGAUGCAGAAAUAUUCAGCGACCUCAUUGGACAAGGCAAUGUGGUGCUGACUGUUUUCUCAAAUGAUGAAUUCUCAGGCUCUUUGUCUUCCAUAUCUGAGAAGUCUGACAAAAGCAACAGUUCAAGUGCAUCGACUGUAAUCUUUCAUGAGGUCCCUAACAAGAGACAAAGAAAAGAGGACACAUCUGCACUGUCUGCAAAACGGGCAACUCCCUACUUAAGCUAUCGGAGAACAGUAUGCUGUUUGCAUAGUGAUACUGUUCCCUCAAAGAUCCAUAUUCCAAGAAAGGCUACGAACACUUUUAUGAUGCUGCAAGCAACAUAGGAUACAUUGCUUGGCAUAUGAAAACAGUCCACAGGAAGAUGAGACGAGGAUCUUUGCCACUAGACAGCCCUCAUGAUGUUUCUCCAGGAGGCCCAAAAUGCCAAAAAGCUACUAAUUUUGAAGGGCAACUUGAUGGGAGUUCUUGCAGAGAGGCCAUGUCUUUGCUCAGCCAAACCACAGAGAAUUCCCUAAUAUUCCAAAAGAUGAGAGAGACCUUUCAGCAUCGCCAAGAGCUUAUUAAAGAUCCAGGCUCUAGUGUUGAUAUCCUCUCCACAUUCCCAUGAUUCAUAGAUACAAAAGGAAUAACAUGUUUUCACAAGAAUUCAAUUUGAGAACAUUGUUUAUAGUUUAAUAUCUUCUUAAAGGUUGGUCAAGACUUCACUCUCCUGUUUAACACUGAGACAUCCUCCAGGCUGCUUCAGAAGAGGGACACACUCUUCAGGCCAAAUGUCAUGAAAGACACCAAGCAACUUACUUCAACAGCAGAGAUGAGUCAGUUGUUGCUCUCAGCAGAAUGUCCUGAAGGAAGUGACCUUCAUGAGACAAUUUUUUCUUCAUGUGAAUUUCGUCUCUAGUUUACGACCGGGAAAUGGCAUCCCUUCUUUAACUGAUACAUCUCCUUCCACCAUCACCAGGAGGAUUGAAGUCUCCAAAAACAGUCCAUGUGAUGCUGCUGAAAGACUUGUAAUCUUUCAUAAGUCAUGCUGCAGUUUGGAGGAGCCCCUCAACAACAUCCAGCAUCAGCAUCCCUACCUCCUUGCUGUUGGACGCCAGAAAAGCAAGACUGAGUGCUUCUACAUCAUCUUGGAUAAGCAUCUCAUCUCAUCCCAUGCCAGGCAAACCGCUCCCUUGGAGCAUUUGAUGAACUUUUCAAGGCACAUUUUGAGUUAAAUUUGUCCUAUGAUGGUGCACUUCUGAACUUUUACACAUUCCUGCAGACACCCUGUAUAACAUUGAUGAAGGUAAAAUGAAGGAGUCUCCCAGGGUUAGAGAU